rnacentral:lncRNA from 1 species
AGAGGAGGAGAGAAGCGUUGGCCGAAGAAAGAGGUGGAGAGACCAGCAAAGGAGCUCUGCAGAGCUGCCAUUCCAAAGGGCGUGCUUCAAAUCCUUUUGUGUAGUAAGAAAGAACACACAGGUGAGUUUUUGAGGAUAGGAUAAUAAACACCUUCUUCUUCUCUGUCCAGACAACCGAUCCGAAUGAUUGGACCUUGGACGGGUCGAGUCCGGCCCAACUAACAAAGAGCCUAUCCAAAUCUAAAACUGAUUUUGUUUGACCAACUUUGACAGAGGGGUGGGAAACUUGGGGAAAAGCAGUUAAAACCUGGAUUGAUUCAAAAUAUAUCUUGAUGCUUUCUAAUAAAAUUGGAUUGAACAGGAUGAUGUAGGAGUUCUUAAAUAGACCAUGUAGUUCACCAAUUCGUUUGAGGAACCACUUCUCGUGGUUAUUUGUCUUGUAUUUUUAUUAAUUUACUUAUAUGCAGUUUCUUAUCAUCUCUCGAAACAAAUUCAAAAAUAGCGAGUUUUACAAGUUGUCAUUCAAAAAUAGUCACAUUAAUCGAAAUUUAGCCAUUUUCAUUUAAAGAUAAAUCUGAAUAAAAAUACUGUUCAAAAUCUGGAAAAAUACUUCAGCAUAAUAUACUGGAGUUCCGGUAUAUUAUACUGGAACUCCAGGCUAAUAUACUGGAGUUCCAGUAUAAUAUACCGGUCCAGCAUAAUAUACUCCAGUCUCCAGUAUAUUAUACUGGAGCCAGCAAAGCAUACCGGUCCAGCAUAAUAUGCUGAAAGUUCAUACAUAGGUGUACCAAACUCCAGUAUAUUAUGCUGGACCGGUCUCUGUUGCGGGAAAAUAGUGGCUAUUUUUCAAUAACUUGGCAAAUGCUGGCUAUUUUUGAAUGACCAGUCCGAAAACUGGAUAGACCGUGCUAUUUUAACAAUUUUAAUAGGCGUAUUGAUAAGAGUACUACAAUGUAUUCAAUAGAAUAAUUAGAAAGAAAUUCAAAAAUAGCCAGAUUUACAAGUGGUCGUUCAAAAAUAGUCCAGUUUCAAAAGUAAUCAAAAUUUAGCCAUUUUUCAUGUAAAGAUAAAUUUGAAUGAAAACACUGUUCAAAAUCCGGAAAAAUACUCCAGCAUAAUAUAUUGGAGCCAACAAAGUAUACCGGUCCAGCAUAAUAUACUAGAAGUUCAUACACAGGUGCACCGAACUCCAGUAUAGUAUGUUGAACCGGUCUCUGUUGCAGCAAAAUAGUGGCUAUUUUUCAUUGACUUGGUAAACGCUAGCUAUUUUUGAAUGACCAGUUCGAAAACUGGCUAGACCGUGCUAUUUUUACGAAUAAUUAAGGUGUGAAGAAAUUAGCUGGGAUAUCAUUACUAUAACAAAAACUAAUUAGCUAAGAUGUUUUUACUUCCUAUUUUGCAAGAGAUCCAACUGUAGCUAGUAUCAGUUACUACCUUUCUUUUCUCUACAAAAAAGAAUGUAUCUUCUGAUGUUACAAUAUUUAAAUACUUCUCGAAUCAAACUUGCACUUAAAUUCCGACAACUUCUUGCCCUUUGCAAUCAUGUCAAAUCCUAUUAGACUACGAAAAAUAAUAAGUCUAAACUGCCUUCCAUAAACACAAUAGUACUAGAACGCAUUGGCUCAUUGAGGUAAUUCUAGCUCACGAAUAUUUUUAAGAGCAAAACAACAGCUAGUAAUACCGGAAAUUAGAUGCCAUUGUGCUUUCCUGCUAAUUCCAGCAAAGUCGUGUAAAUCCUACAAAUCCAGUCGGAAAAAAGAUACUUUUGGCUGUUGAAGAUGAUAUGAACAUCCAUAGAAUUGGAAAAUGCUGAUCCGGGCUUUUCCCCCUUUCCUUCUGCCAUUCAUUUACCUUCCACGCAAAUUUACAAAAAUUUAACAAAAUUGGAAAGAAAGAAAUGCUAUCUUACACGCAGACUAUAACAGAUCCUAAAUAUCCCAAUCGAACUCACCAAAGGCAAAAGUGUGUUGCGAAUGGAGAACCUAAUUUUACAAGAACAAAAGAAGAGGAAGAAGUAAACAGAAAAAAAAUAAACAAAUGGAAGAACUGAGUUAAACUUCACAUGAGUCAGCUGUGCUGUCCAUAGAUUCCCCCCGUCGGUGUCCAGAGUUUGGACUCCGAUGAUCUGGUUGUUCAACAUUGAUGGUAACCUCCUCUGCUGUUGCAGAUGAAGAACGCUUGUGACGCUUUCUGUCGUGUCUAGAUUUGAGUAUCCUUGACAGAACCUGCACAAUGUCCCUCAUGGAAGGCCGUUUCUUGGGGGCACGAUUCAC